rnacentral:rRNA from 1 species
UACGUAGGGGCGAGCGUUGUCCGGAGUUAUUGGGCGUAAAGGGUGCGUAGGCGGUUUGAUAAGUCUGAUGUGAAAUCUAUGGGCUCAACCCAUAGUCUGCAUUAGAAACUGUCGGGCUUGAGUAUGGGAGAGGUGAGUGGAAUUUCCGGUGUAGCGGUGAAAUGCGUAGAUAUCGGAAGGAACACCUGUGGCGAAAGCGGCUCACUGGACCAUUACUGACGCUGAUGCACGAAAGCUAGGGGAGCAAACAGG